UGUUCUAUCCAGAUUUAUUUGACAUUUUUUCUUUUUCUUUUUAAACUUCACUACAAGAAAAGAGUCCUAUUAUGACAGUUCAUUCCAUCUCAAAUUGAAAAAAGAGAAGAAAAAAAUGUCAUAAAAGGUCAAAAUGUACGUUUUUUACGAGAAAAUGCAGAAUUUUUCAGAUUUGAAGAAUUUAUGAUAGUUUUUAAAUGUCAUAAAUCUAUGAUAAUUUUUAACUGUCAUUAACUAUAAAUAAUAAAAUAAUAAAUAUUUAUUUUAAAUCAAAUGAAAGGAAAGAAAGAAAAGAGAAGGGUAUCAAACUUUUUGCACGAUUUUUUCUUCUGCACAAAACAUUUAUCCCCAAAUCCUUCUGCACUAUUUUCUCUUGCCCAAGGAAGAACAGGUACAACGUUUUGUUCUUCUUCUUUAUCUCUCUACCCUCUCUUGCCAUUUUCCUUCUUCUUCUUCCUCCUCUCUUAGAUUCAUCAACAUAUCCAAUCCCUUCUUCUCCCCAAGCUUUAGUUUUCCACUUUUUGUUUCUUUCAGGUGCGUCAUCUCCAUCUGUCGUCUUCAGUCGUCUCGUGCUUCUCCUCGCUCCCUCCUCCAUCUAGUAACUUCUUUGCUCUCCGACUUCCUUUUUACUUAACCACCAUUAAUCGCCUUCAUUUAGUUUUUCUUGAUGGAUUCGAACGUGUUUGAAGUGGGUCUUCAUGUUUAGUUUUUGUUGUUUGUUCUUCUACUUUCAAACUGUUUGAGAAAAUGACUGAUAGAGUAAUUUCUAGAUUAUGAUUCCUCGGAGAUAGAAAUUUUCUUCCUUGUUGACUAAUAAACUUUGAAGAUGACUGGACAAGUUCUACGCUCAUUUUGCUUUUUAAGUUCUACUCUAAUUUUGGUCUUCAAGCUCUUGGAUGCACAUUUGAUAUAUAUGAAUUAUUGGAUCUUGAAUGUUUGAGGGAAAAAGUUUGGAGGAAGCCGUUAGAAAAUUGGAGGCAUAGAGACAAAAAUUUUCAAGCUUGGAAAGAGAAACCCUAAUUUUCCUCUUCAUCAACAAACCCUAAGCCUUGCUCCGCCGCCGCCACCUCGUUUCUCACCGUCGGCCGUCGCAACCUACACCCAAGCCGCAUCAGCCGUCCCCUCCGCCGCACCUUUCCCCGUACUAUUGAAGUCUCUGUCAUUGUCCGUCGCCCGUGUCGCUCGGAACUCACCGAUCUCCUCUGCAGACUGCCGUCGCUCUUCCGGUCGUCAACCACUGCCCCGCGUAGCCCCGACAGCUAGUCGUGCUUAACCUCAUUCGCGUCUCUUCCCUUUCUCGUCAAGUCUUCGGUCGUUCAUGCAUUCGUCACAUGUUCCAUCGCUCGCCACCGUCAACAAACGUCAGAUCGGGAGCAGCCGCCAAGCCUCGCGUGUGCAAGGUCCGCUCGAGCCGAACCGCGUCGCGCGUCUGCUGGAGUCGAGCCGCGUCACGCGUCUGCUGGAGCCAAGCCGCGUCGCACGUCUGCUAGAGUCGAGCUGCGCAAUGCCUCCUUCCUUCCAACCGAGCCGCCAAGCCUUUUUUAGCCACCUAGCUAUUUUUAUCCUUUUCCACCUAUUUUGGUCAAUUGGGGGCUGAACCGAGGAAUUUUCCUAAACCAAGGAUAAAUUUGGAAUUAUCUUUAACUUUGGGACUUGACUGUUGGGGAGCUUGAUUGUGACUGUUAGGAUAUUUUUGCUGUGAACUAAUCUCCAGGUAAGAGAUUCUACUACUAGACCUUCAAGUUACUUUAAAGAGACCGCAUGUAUGAAUAUAUGGUUAUGUAUCAAUGGUAGCUAAGUACAUAACUCGAGGUUAUUGAGAGAGAGGCUGAUAUUGUAAUUGCUUCUGCUGGUUGACUUUAUGGUUAGCGCUGAUAGUAUAUCUGUAACAACCCAACUCUUUAUACUGAGCCGAAGUUAUUACUAAAUGUAAAUGACAUGGUUUAGGUCAUAAAGUGUAAUUAAAAUGAAUAAAACCUCAUAAUUUUAUUUAUAAAAUCAAAUCAGGGUAGUGAGCAAAACAUAAAUAAAAAUUAAAAUCCUACUCGGGCCCUAUCUACUUUUAAAGAAAUGAAAUAGUAAAUAAGGAAGACAAUGAAACUCAAGUACUAAGUGUCUAAAACGGGAUGUAAGCGGAAGCAGAAAUCCCUAUGGCUUGCCACGGUCACUUCUGGUCGCUCGCCAGCUUGCCUUUGCCCCUACAUCGGCCUCUACCUGACAAACAUGUCAUGGAAAGAGUGAGUAUAAAAUACUCAGUAAGAGACCCACUACUAGUCCCACUAGGUGUCUGUUAACUUUCUAUUAGAGUCCUGAAACUAGUACCCCAUAACUGGCACGUCCCCGAACACGUGCAACACGCGCCCCCGUAGGGACAAGCUGGUCCUUGGUAAUUCCCAAGGGAAUACCUAAGACGCUCAGGCUGUGAGCGGUCCCGUCGGGUCACUCUCGUCAUGUCUGUGUCAAUGUCAAUGUCAGACUGGUAAUCCCAUCGGACUACGCAGUCAUAAGUGGGAGCGACCUCGUCGGGUCUCUCCAUCAUGUCUGUGUCAUAAAGGUGGUGAUCUCGAAGGACACCCAUGUGGGUACGACUCUAAUAAGGAGCUAACAUACACCCUAACCAUAGCAUACAUAUACCUAACAUCAUCAUGUAAUCAUAUCACAUCUCAUCAUCACAACCAAACAUAAAGUCAUAAUCAGCCGUCACACGUUAACCAUGUCAUCGUAAUAAGUCACAUCAGUAGUCACGUCAUGCCCUCAUUAAUCAAUGUAGUCCUCAAGUGCAUAACUAGGAAUGCAUGCAGUCUCAUGAUUCUAGUCGUAGGGCUAGUAGUAGAAAUCUCUUACCUGGAGAUUUGCUCGACGAGUCCUAAUAGUAACAACACGCUUCCCCAAGCAUGGAAAGUGUUAUAUAUUGAAAAGAUGAGCAAAAGCUUUUAAUUUCAACCAUAAAUUGACUAUUUAGUGUUACAAGAAAAUAAGACUAAUGAAUUAGGAAAUCCUAAAAUAUUAAUUAAGCACUAAAUUAGCAUCUAAUUAAUCUAAACUAACAACAAACCAAAUAUUAAGCUAAAAUAUACUAAUUAUCCUAUAAUUAUUCUCAUUGUUCACUCCGUCUACCCCACUCAAAGCGUCGAGCCAAGAAAACUUCACGUUAUCACCUCGAAUUCAAGAACAACUUCCUUUUUUAAAGUGGGAGUGAAUGGUGAAGGAGAAUUAGAAGUAAUUAGUAUGUUUUAAUUAAUAUUCAGUUUUAUUGUUGAUUUAGAGUGUUUAAUUAGAGUUAAUCAGUUAGUUAUGCUAUUUUUUUGGUAAGUCUAUAAAUAGACAACUUAGAGUUGUAAUUUGAAGUUUUUGAUAAUCUUAUCAACUUAGAACAUUUGUUCCUUAAAGGACAUUGUCUCAAUAGUUUAUAAAAAAGGAAACAACUUUAGUUUAAUAAGGAUAAUAUUAACCACACUUAGUAUUAAUAUUAUUAGUGGUCAAAAUAACAAAAGAAAACCGAAAGAAAUGUUGGGCGUUACAGUCCAGUGCCCCCUAUAUAAAAUUCCUGGAUCCGCCACUAGUUAGGCUUAGGAGGCCUAAUCUGUAAACCAAUCAAGCCCAAGCCUAUAAAGCUCACUCGAGAACUCUAUACAUAGAGAAAUUCUUUCAUUUGUGAGGGUUUAUAAAUUCUUACUUUAGAAAGCCUAGAGAGAAUUCUCCUAACAACUAGUGGAUUCCCUAACUCCGGAAGCUGACCACCCUUGAAUAUAUUGAAGUUCCUUAGAAGAUACAAGUAUUCUUCCAAAGUUCCAAGAUUCCAACUUCGAUAACUUCAAGUGCUCCGCUUCCACAUAUCAAGAAUAUGCAUUCAACUGAAAGAGAAUUAGAGGAUCAAAUACUAGAGAUUGAACCACAUUACAUCAAAUCAACGUAAAUACACUUCAACACAACAUUAACUCCACAAACCACAUUUCACCGAAAACCUCAUACGAACAAUAUUAAUGAUAAAAGGUAGAAACAUGUAAAAGUAGUGUUUAUCAAAUUCAAUUUUAGAAACUAAAAAAAAAAAUUAUCAAAUGAAUAAUUAAAAAAAAAAAAAAAAAGGUUAAA